CGAACGGGUGAGUAACACGUGAGCAACCUACCUUUCAGUGGGGGACAACAUUUGGAAACGAAUGCUAAUACCGCAUAAGACCACAGUGUCGCAUGGCACAGGGGUCAAAGGAUUUAUCCGCUGAAAGAUGGGCUCGCGUCCGAUUAGCUAGAUGGUGAGGUAACGGCCCACCAAGGCGACGAUGCAUAGCCGGCCUGAGAGGGCGGACGGCCACAUUGGGACUGAGACACGGCCCAAACUCCUACGGGAGGCAGCAUG
rnacentral:rRNA from 1 species